CCUCGCGUCAUCUCUUUCUCUCUCCGGCAUCCUUUCGAGCUCUUAGAACGUAAACAGCGCAUUCGCUCGACGCCGGUCGACGCGAUCGCAUCAGGGGUGUAUUUCGGGACCCGGGGGAAGAAAACUGGGCAACGAGGAACUCACGAAUACAGGAAGUAUUACGUCAACGAUAGAGGGAGCGGCCGACCCACGUAACGCGCGGCCUCUUAACGCUUUUAUCCAAUGAGGAGAUCGAUUCACCAAUUACCAUUAAACCCCCGCACAAUUGACAGACCUAUAAAGGGCUUUCUGUCAAUUAGACAGCCGCGACUAAUGACUCGCGAGUCUCGGUAGAAAAUACUCGUCAAAGGUCUCCGAACCACCGGGUACCCUCGAUCGAGAUGACUUUCCUUUAUCAAGGGAAAAAGUAAGAAAGAAGUAAAGAAAAGUACUGAACUUUUUUCCCCGGCGAUGAUCCGAGCACGAGACGUCCCGUAGAGAGUGGAGGACUUUCUCCGAAACUCGACCAUCUCCGGGCGCUAAUUUUAGUUGAAAUAAUGUUACUAAGAUGCAAACGCGACGUUACUACCCGCGCGCACGUAAGCAUUUAAUUUUAGUACAAUGCAUUACAAUCUCGGCGGAAUUGGCCAACUUCUGACCGACAAAGCUACUCCUCAAGGUUCUCCUCGGCGAUGGGUUUUACGGUCUACUCAGAAAAUCGGGUCAAUUGCGGCAACAACCUGCUAAUGAUCGGCCGACUUUGUAUGCAUCGACCGGCUGUCGGCAGAGUUUACGACCCUUCACGGAAGCACAUCCUUCGUUCGGAUGGGUAUUUAGAUGAAGCCCAACGUGGAGAUGACAUCUCUACAUUCUUAGGAAAAUAAUGGUAACGAAGAAAGCCUAAUUCCCCUGGCUGCAAAAUUAACAGUGCGUGGCCACUACCUCCUUGACCUCGAGCUGUUCUACCGACUCGAUGAAUGUAUUCCUAAAAUUCAGGAAGUACGUUUCG